rnacentral:rRNA from 1 species
UAGGGAAUCUUCCGCAAUGGACGAAAGUCUGACGGAGCAACGCCGCGUGAGUGAAGAAGGAUUUCGGUUCGUAAAACUCUGUUGUUAGGGAAGAAAAAAUGUAUAGUAACUAUAUACAAAAGAGACGGUACCUAACCAGAAAGCCACGGCUAACUACGUGCCAGCAGCCGCGGUAAUACGUAGGUGGCAAGCGUUGUCCGGAAUUAUUGGGCGUAAAGCGCGCGCAGGUGGUUUAGAAAGUCUGAUGUGAAAGCCCACGGCUCAACCGUGGAGGGUCAUUGGAAACUAAUAAACUUGAGUGCAGGAGAGAAAAGUGGAAUUCCUAGUGUAGCGGUGAAAUGCGUAGAGAUUAGGAGGAACACCGGUGGCGAAAGCGGCUUUUUGGCCUGCAACUGACACUGAGGCGGGAAAGCGUGGGGAGCAAACAGG